CAGUAGCCGCGGUAAAACGAGGGGGGCAAGCGUUGUUCGGAAUUACUGGGCGUAAAGCGUGCGUAGGCGGUUUGUUAAGACAGAUGUGAAAUCCCCGGGCUCAACCUGGGAACUGCAUUUGUGACUGGCAAGCUAGAGUGUGGCAGAGGGGGGUGGAAUUCCGCGUGUAGCAGUGAAAUGCGUAGAUAUGCGGAGGAACACCGAUGGCGAAGGCAGCCCCCUGGGCCAACACUGACGCUCAUGCACGAAAGCGUGGGGAGCAAACAGGAUUAGAUACCCGAGUAGUCCCUGUCUCUUAUAC
rnacentral:rRNA from 1 species